UACGUAGGGGGCGAGCGUUGUCCGGAUUUAUUGGGCGUAAAGAGCGUGUAGGCGGCCAGGUAGGUCUGCUGUGAAAACUCGAGGCUCAACCUCGAGAUGUCGGCGGAAACCACUUGGCUAGAGUCCGGAAGAGGAGAGUGGAAUUCCCGGUGUAGCGGUGAAAUGCGCAGAUAUCGGGAAGAACACCUAUGGCGAAGGCAGCUCUCUGGGACGGUACUGACGCUGAGACGCGAAAGCGUGGGGAGCAAACAGG
rnacentral:rRNA from 1 species